rnacentral:rRNA from 1 species
UACGGGGGGGGCAAGCGUUGUUCGGAAUUACUGGGCGUAAAGGGCUCGUAGGUGGCCAACUAAGUCAGACGUGAAAUCCCUCGGCUUAACCGGGGAACUGCGUCUGAUACUGGAUGGCUUGAGUUUGGGAGAGGGACGCGGAAUUCCAGGUGUAGCGGUGAAAUGCGUAGAUAUCUGGAGGAACACCGGUGGCGAAGGCGGCAUCCUGGACCGGCAUUGACGCUGAGGCGCGAAAGCCAGGGGAGCAAACGGGG